AUGGCCUCCACCCCCAUCCUUCCCAUGGGCUGCAGGUUCAGCCCCUCCGACGCCGACCUCAUCUCCUUCUACCUCCGCCCCAUGAUCGCGAGCGAGCCCCUCCCUGAGCCCGCCGCCAGGUUCCUGCACACCGCCGACGCGUACGCCGCCGACCCAUCCUCCCUCGUCUCUGGCCUCCUGCCUGCGGUCCUGCUGGCGCCCAGGACCGGGGCGGAGAGGCGUUGCUGGUACUUCUUCGGCCCCGCCAAGGCCCUGUCCGGGCACGACAAGCGCAGGUCCCGGGCCGUCGCCGGCGGGAAGGGCACGUGGCAUGCCGAGAAGGGGAGGGUGGCCGUUCUCGACGGCGAGGGACGCGGCGGAGUCGUCGGGUACAAGCAGAGUUUCAGGUAUAAGCCCAGCGAUGCCGACGGAUCCGUGGAGGCCGUGUGGCUCAUGGUGGAGUUCCGUGUGGCUCAUGAUCAAGGAGAUGACGAGAAAGGCGAGACAGUUCCAGUUCUUUGCAAGGUCUACCAGAGCCCGCGCAAGCCCCGAUCUGCGUCGAUCUCGACGUCGCCGGCAUACAAAAGGGAGAGGAAGAGGAAGGCCAGGGACGACUCAGCUCCGGCGACGACUGUCAAGCGGCGGCUGCUUGUCCCCCCUGCUGCACCAAUUCUGCCGUCGGCCGUCGAGCCACAGCCAGACCUGAACAACUGCUCGGAUGGCGUCUCAGUGGACCAGCUUCUUGAUGAUCUCAUGUCCGUCCUCACGCCUGAUCAAGUCCUGGGUGACUUCUUGAUGCCUGUCCCUGAAUCAGAGGUCAAUUGCAGCUUCUCCAUGGGCAACCACGCCGGUUCCGCGGCGAGAAGCUACUGUGACAUGGUACUCCAGGACGAAGCUGGUGCUGGUGCACGCACGCCUUUUCAUCAGAAUUCUGAUCAAAUCCUCCUGGGUGACUUGUUGAUGCCUGUCGUCUCUGAAUCAGAGGUCAAUUACAGCUCCUCUAUGUCCGACCAUUCUGGUUCCAUGACCCAGACAGCAAUGCUAAAUUAUUUCAGCUUCCUGCCGUGUGCCCCGUAUGCUGGAAUUUGUGAUUCUUGGACAGGAGGCGACACCACGGACGAUGAAGCGGCCUCAGUCAGCUGGUACGGCUCCGCUCCAAGCUCACCGGCAAUUCCUACUGAGUGGAUGAUGCAAUCACCAUUUGCCACCCCAUAUCUAUUCUGA
rnacentral:rRNA from 1 species